AUACUACUAAAAUUUUUAAUUUCAACUAGUAACAGAAAUACUCUGACUAUAAUUAUUGCUCUUAAUAAGGAACAGGCCUAAACAUUUUGUCUAAUUCCUACUACCUAUACUUGCUUCUCUUAGAGUUUUUUCUUCCAGAUUUCCUGUUAUGACUCUUAAGAUAGCAUCAAAGGGUAACAAGAAGACAAAUCCCCGGAGUUGCAAAGUUCACUACAUCUUAUUUUCAGCUACAUCUCCAGCAUCUAAAUGGAUUCACAAUGAAUUAGAUCAAUUUUGCUAUGAGAAUACAACUUGCCUGCCAGCGGCCUCCAGACAUCCUCCAGUGCUGCCUCAAAGUAAAACCAGACCCCCAGCCCCAGGAAAAGAUCAACAUUUUUAUAGGACCCAGCAUGGUGUGUAUUUGCUCAGGAUUUUUGUCUUCUUAAUUAAAUAUUUUUCAGUCCCUGUCUCAGAAAUUAGAAAACACAAUUGAAAUGCCGCAAGAUACAUACUAUUCUAAGCCUGGAUGUGAAAUGGUAGCUAGAGGCCAUAAAAUUACACCGCAGCUAUUACAGAUAAUUAUCAAGGAUAUUCUGUGAGAACAUAAACAAUGGACUAAAAAAACCAUAGACUACAUUACUUGUGUUAAAUAAAAACAACUGUGUCACAUUUCCUAAAAGUG
rnacentral:lncRNA from 1 species